GGCCUACCAUGGUGGUAACGGGUAACGGGGUGUUAGGGCACGACACCGGAGAGGGAGCCUGAGAAACGGCUACCACAUCCAAGGAUGGCAGCAGGCGCGCAAAUUACCCAAUCCCGACACGGGGAGGUAGUGACAAUAAAUAACAAUACGGGGUUCUUUAGGAUCUCGUAAUUGGAAUGAGUACAAUUUAAAUCUCUUAACGAGGAACAAUUGGAGGGCAAGUCUGGUGCCAGCAGCCGCGGUAAUUCCAGCUCCAAUAGCGUAUAUUAAAGUUGUUGCAGUUAAAAAGCUCGUAGUUGAAUUUCGAGACCGGCUUACUGGUCGUGCUUUUGUGCGUACUGGUAUAACCGGUUUCUCCUUUCUGACGAACUAUAAUGCCAUUAAUUUGGUGUUAUAGGGAAUCAGGACUGUUACUUUGAAAAAAUUAGAGUGUUUAAAGCAGGCUCACGCUUGAAUACAUUAGCAUGGAAUAACGGAAUAGGACGUUUGAUUCUAUUUUGUUGGUUUCUAGGAUCGACGUAAUGAUUAAUAGGGAUAGUUGGGGGCAUUAGUAUUCAAUUGUCAGAGGUGAAAUUCUUGGAUUUAUUGAAGACUAACUACUGCGAAAGCAUUUGCCAAGGAUGUUUUCAUUAAUCAAGAACGAAAGUUAGGGGAUCGAAGACGAUCAGAUACCGUCGUAGUCUUAACCAUAAACUAUGCCGACUAGGGAUCGGAUGAUGUUAAUUUUUUAUGACUCAUUCGCGCCUUACG
rnacentral:rRNA from 1 species